ensembl:lncRNA
GGGGCCUCCACCGACUCUAUUUUCAGAGUCCCAUCUGAAUGGUUUUCAAAGAUGCCAACAAUGUGCAAAGACCCCGCCCCCUCCUGGUCCCCUACGCUUGAGCACCGUGUUAAAAGGGAACAAAGGGCUCCUGAUACACUCAAACUCUUCCAAUCACUUCAUCAUUUAUUACAUAUGCGUGCUUGCUUUUCGCUCUGCCUCUCACCCCCAUACCAGCUGCUUAAAGGCCUACACAGUUGCCAGGGCCAUGUGAAUUUCCAGCAGUCGUUUUUUUUCCACCUCUACCCAAUGCAGAAUGGUUUGCAUUUUAGCCGCUUUAAGUUCAAGACAUUACGACGCAAUUUAAGCUCUGAAGUGUUAAAGACAUCUGCAACCCAUGGCAAUCAGUCCAUGCUGCAGCUUCAAUCAGAGGGCCCUGCAUCAGGAAGGCAAGUCCCAUGCUAAGCCUAAUCACUCCUCACAGACGGAGCCUGUAAGGAUUAUGCAUGGGGUACAUCCACAAACAGGCACAAUUAACUGGACAUACAUGAUUCAGGCAAGAUUGUGGCCCAAAGUGAAAAGCACAGACUUACAGUAGGAGACUAUUUACAAAUGAAACCCAUUCAAAUGGUGUAGAAUACAGAUGGGAAAUAUGUGAGAUGUGCCAGCCAUAGCAACUGACUGACUAACCUGCCAGAAGUAUGAAGAGACUAAGUGUGGGCAUUGCUUACUGACCUGGCCUGCAUUUCCCUGAAAGCAUUGUUGAUCAGCCACCGUGUUAACGAAGAGUUAACUGUGCAAUUGUUAUCUAGCUUUUAUUGACUCCUAUGGGACAGUGGGGAGAGAAAUCACCCAUGAAGAGAACCCCAGGAAAUCUGAGAUUACUUAAGGCCUAGAUCUUCAAAUCCAAUCUGCAAAUAUAAUAUACAUCAUAUAAUAAACUGGUCUGUUUUGUCCUGCAUCAGUACAACCAUAGAGGCUGUGAUUUACUGAUCAUUAAAAUGAAUGUGACUGAUGCCAUUAAAGGGGAAACGCACAGCUUACCAAUAGGCGUUACAGGUUUUGUGCCAGAAGCCAAAACAGCUGAGCUUUAAGGUGCCAGUAUGGUACUCAAACUCCGUUACGGAUGGGUGGGCCGCCGGAUAGGACGGAUUAAUUAGCAUUUCUGUUGCCUUUAUGGUUCUCCGAAGGCUGGGGGUGCUGAAAACAAUUCACCGCCAGAACAGUAGGUGGAGAAGCGUUUUUUUGUCGUAGACACGUUGCUUUGCAACGCCUUUGUAAGUUAGAAAUCGUCGUUGUUUAUCUCCCUCUUCCCGUCCACGUGUGACCCUCCUACCAGCUGUCACUAGUCAGACCAUAAGUGCAGCAGGUGUAGUCACAUGAUAUUAUAUUCAAGGGUGUGUCUAAUGCCAUAUAACCACCUGAAAGGGCAAACUUAUCUCUAUCAUGGUAGGUAUUAUUUGUGGGGAAAAUAGUAGCACUCUAUAACAAAAUGAUAUGCUUAUCUUAUAUACACUAUUAAAACUAUUAAAAAACGAUUCCCUUAAAUGAAUACGUUCUUAUUUUCUUUGGUAUUUUUGUCAUAUUCAGAUUUGCAAUGAUGAUUGCUGGGUAAUAUGUAUGUUGUGGUCCAAUGUCAAGUCUCUAUUUUAUCAUGUGACAAGACGAUGGUAUAGCUAGUUUAGGCACAGCAUCUGAACGUCAAGACCGACAAGCUGACAGUGUUGUACAAGUUCACACCUCUCAUGAACCAGUUCAAAGUUCAGUUCAAACAAGUAAACAUG